rnacentral:rRNA from 1 species
UGGGGAAUAUUGGACAAUGGGCGCAAGCCUGAUCCAGCAAUGCCGCGUGUGUGAAGAAGGCCUUCGGGUUGUAAAGCACUUUUAUCAGGAGCGAAACGCUGUCGGCUAAUACCCGGCGGAACUGACGGUACCUGAGGAAUAAGCACCGGCUAACUUCGUGCCAGCAGCCGCGGUAAUACGAAGGGUGCAAGCGUUAAUCGGAAUUACUGGGCGUAAAGCGUGCGUAGGCGGUUUCUUAAGUCUGCUGUGAAAUCCCCGGGCUCAACCUGGGAAUGGCAGUGGAUACUGGGAGGCUAGAGUGUGUCAGAGGGUGGUGGAAUUCCCGGUGUAGCGGUGAAAUGCGUAGAGAUCGGGAGGAACAUCAGUGGCGAAGGCGGCCACCUGGGACAACACUGACGCUGAGGCACGAAAGCGUGGGGAGCAAACAGGAUUAGAUACCCUGGUAGUCCACGCCCUAAAGCGAUGCGAACUGGAUGUUGGUCUCAACUCGGAGAUCAGUGUCGAAGCUAACGCGUUAAGUUCGCCGCCUGGGGAGUACGGUCGCAAGACUGAAACUAAAAUGAAUUGAC